rnacentral:tRNA from 1 species
GGCCCGUUAGCUCAGUUGGCAGAGCACCGGACUCUAAAUCCGGAUAGGUCGUCGGUUCGAGCCCGACACGGGCCCCCA